CCUAAAUAAAGAAACUGCUUAAAGGUAGAGAAGGAGAUGAUAAAUCCUAAGGGAAAGAGGAGGAGGAGAGAUUGAGGAAGGCGUCGGCAUUUUCUUCAUGUACAAGUAAGAAUUGAAGAGGAAUACUGAGCUUGGGGGUUUUGAGAGAAAUAUUGGAAAAUAGUAUUUAAUAAUCAAAAGGAGUUGUAAAGAAACGUGUAAACGAGUGGGCGUGGAAUUUAUUCCAUAAUUAAUUGUAAGGAAUAUAAUCUGAAACCUAACUUGUUUCCCAGGAGAAUAGUUCUACAAUUAUUUUCCAAUUGAUAUUGUGCAAAAUGAAGAUAAAAAGAAGGUCUAUUCCCCCUUAAAUUCUCAAAAUUCAUCUAGAUAAUAAUAUAUGAUGCAGUCUAGGCCCAAAGAGUCAAGAUUGGUCAAUUCAGGUUAAUUAAAUUCAAAUUUCGAUUUUAUUCAAGAUUUGAACUAAAAGAAAUAAGGUUGGCUAAAAAGGUGAUCUCUAACAGAAAGGCUAUCUCUAUGAAAUUUGGAUUAAGUAACGUUGAGAAGAUAAACAUCUUUAAAGAUCAAAAUAGUUGGAGAUCAUGGCUGAGAUCAAACACGCUAACGCAUGAUGUUAUAUAUAAAUAAGGAAAAGGGCAAAAUCCAGUCGAAAUUUUAAG
rnacentral:misc_RNA from 1 species